GAUGAACGCUGGCUACAGGCUUAACACAUGCAAGUCGUGGGGAAACGGCAUUAUGUGCUUGCACAUUCUGGACGUCGACCGGCGCACGGGUGAGUAUCGCGUAUCCAACCUGCCCCUUACUUGGGGAUGCCCCGUUGAAAGACGGCCUAAUACCCGAUGUGUUUCAUUGACGGCAUCCGAUAUGAAACAAAGGUUUUCCGGUAAGGGAUGGGGAUGCGUCUGAUUAGCUUGUUGGCGGGGCAACGGCCCACCAAGGCGACGAUCAGUAGGGGUUCUGAGAGGAAGGUCCCCCACAUUGGAACUGAGACACGGUCCAAACUCCUACGGGAGGCAGCAGUGAGGAAUAUUGGUCAAUGGACGCAAGUCUGAACCAGCCAAGUAGCGUGCAGGAUGACGGCCCUAUGGGUUGUAAACUGCUUUUAUGUGGGAAUAAAGUGGCGCACGUGUGCGCCAUUGCAUGUACCUCAUGAAUAAGGACCGGCUAAUUCCGUGCCAGCAGCCGCGGUAAUACGGAAGGUCCGGGCGUUAUCCGGAUUUAUUGGGUUUAAAGGGAGUGUAGGCGGUCUGUUAAGCGUGUUGUGAAAUUUAGGUGCUCAACAUUUAACUUGCAGCGCGAACUGUCAGACUUGAGUACACGCAGCGCAGGCGGAAUUCAUGGUGUAGCGGUGAAAUGCUUAGAUAUCAUGAGGAACUCCGAUCGCGAAGGCAGCCAUCCGGAGCGUAACUGACGCUGAGGCUCGAAGGUGCGGGUAUCGAACAGG
rnacentral:rRNA from 1 species